AGAAUAUUGUAUUAGUCGUAUUGUUUUCGUUCUUGCCGAGGUAACUAAGAAAUUAACAAAAAAAAAAAAAAUGUUCGGGUUUUCCGACUAUUAAUAAAACUACAUGGAAAAUCAAAAAUGCUAGUAUAAAAAAAAAAAAAGAAAAGGUUUCUCUAAAGUUUUUGAUAAGAGCAACAUUUAUGUUAGAAAAGUGGUUUACAGACACAAAAAGUCAAAUGAAACGAUAAAAACCGC